UACGUAGGGGGCUAGCGUUGUCCGGAAUCAUUGGGCGUAAAGCGCGUGUAGGCGGCCCGGUAAGUCCGCUGUGAAAGUCGGGGGCUCAACCCUCGGAUGCCGGUGGAUACUGUCGGGCUUGAGUACGGAAGAGGAGAGUGGAAUUCCUGGUGUAGCGGCGAAAUGCGCAGAUAUCAGGAGGAACACCGAUUGCGAAGGCAGCUCGCUGGGAAGUUACUGACGCUGAGACGCGAAAGCGUGGGGAGCAAACAGG
rnacentral:rRNA from 1 species